rnacentral:rRNA from 1 species
GACGAACGCUGGCGGCGUGCUUAACACAUGCAAGUCGAACGGAAAGGCCCUGCAUUUGUGGGGUGCUCGAGUGGCGAACGGGUGAGUAACACGUGAGUAACCUGCCCUUGACUUUGGGAUAACUUCAGGAAACUGGGGCUAAUACCGGAUAGGAGCUCCUGCUGCAUGGUGGGGGUUGGAAAGUUUCGGCGGUUGGGGAUGGACUCGCGGCUUAUCAGCUUGUUGGUGGGGCAGUGGCUUACCAAGGCUUUGACGGGUCGCCGGCCUGAGAGGGUGACCGGCCACAUUGGGACUGAGAUACGGCCCAGACUCCUACGGGGGGCAGCAGUGGGGAAUCUUGCACGAUGGGCGGAAGCCUGAUGCAGCAACGCCGCGUGCGGGAUGACGGCCUUCGGGUUGUAAACCGCUUUCGCCUGUGCCGAAGCGUGAGUGACGGUAAUGGGUAAAGAAGCACCGGCUAACUACGUG